rnacentral:rRNA from 1 species
GAUCCUGGCUCAGGAUGAACGCUAGCUACAGGCUUAACACAUGCAAGUCGAGGGGCAUCAGGAAGAAAGCUUGCUUUCUUUGCUGGCGACCGGCGCACGGGUGAGUAACACGUAUCCAACCUGCCCUUUACUCGGGGAUAGCCUUUCGAAAGAAAGAUUAAUACCCGAUAGCAUAAUGAUUCCGCAUGGUUUCAUUAUUAAAGGAUUCCGGUAAAGGAUGGGGAUGCGUUCCAUUAGGUUGUUGGUGGGGUAACGG